rnacentral:rRNA from 1 species
UAAGGAAUAUUGGUCAAUGCCCGGAAGGGUGAACCAGCCAUCCCGCGUGAAGGAUGAAGGGGCUCUGCCUUGUAAACUUCCUUUGAAUGGGACGAAAAAGCCUCACUUGUGAGGAACUGACGGUACCAUUAGAAUAAGCACCGGCUAACUCCGUGCCAGCAGCCGCGGUAAUACGGAGGGUGCGAGCGUUAUCCGGAAUCACUGGGUUUAAAGGGUGCGUAGGCGGCUGUAUAAGUCAGUGGUGAAAGGCUGUGGCUUAACCAUGGGAUUGCCAUUGAUACUGUACGGCUUGAAUUAGGAUGAGGUUGGCGGAAUGUGACAUGUAGCGGUGAAAUGCUUAGAUAUGUCAUGGAACAUCGAUUGCGAAGGCAGCUGACUGGACCUUAAUUGACGCUGAGGCACGAAAGCGUGGGGAGCGAACAGGAUUAGAUACCCCAGUAGUCCCUGAGCGGGCUGGCAAGGCGCAU